UAGAAAGCGUUAUCGAGCUCAGGACGGAUACCAGCAUGGGCAAUGUCCGAAUCAGUCGCUGGCAUCACUGGUGCAGCACAGGCAGUAGAAGCGAAGAGGGCCAAACCUGCGGCGGCAGAAAAAAGAUUUGAAUAAGGAAUUCUCAUGUUGAUGCUGAGAAGACGAGGCUGUUGGAGGGGGAAGUGAUUGUGAUUGUGGUUGGGGUAGUGAUUGAAGGCGGUUAAAUUGCUGAGAUUGCUGAACAGUAGGCAAGUAUCGUUGUUCCGUGUUUACUUAUGAAAGAAAGACAAGGAAAACAGAUGACAAAGACU